rnacentral:rRNA from 1 species
GAUGAACGCUGGCGGCGUGCCUAAUACAUGCAAGUCGAGCGAACGGACGAGAAGCUUGCUUCUCUGAUGUUAGCGGCGGACGGGUGAGUAACACGUGGAUAACCUACCUAUAAGACUGGGAUAACUUCGGGAAACCGUAGCUAAUACCGGAUAAUAUUUUGAACCGCAUGGUUCAAAAGUGAAAGACGGUCUUGCUGUCACUUAUAGAUGGAUCCGCGCUGCAUUAGCUAGUUGGUAAGGUAACGGCUUACCAAGGCAACGAUGCAUAGCCGACCUGAGAGGGUGAUCGGCCACACUUGAACUGAGACACGGUCCAGACUCCUACGGGAGGCAGCAGUAGGGAAUCUUCCGCAAUGGGCGAAAGCCUGACGGAGCAACGCCGCGCGAGUGAUGAAGGUCUUCGGAUCGUAAAACUCUGUUAUUAGGGAAGAACAUAUGUGUAAGUAACUGUGCACAUCUUGACGGUACCUAAUCAGAAAGCCACGGCUAACUACGU